AACGUAGGUGACGAGCGUUAUCCGGAUUUACUGGGCGUAAAGAGCUUGUAGGUGGCUCUGUAAGUUGGGUAUGAAAGCCCCGGGCUUAACUCGGGGAGGUUGCUCAAUACUGCAGGGCUUGAGGAUGUCAGAGGGAAGUGGAAUUCCUGGUGUAGCAGUGAAAUGCGUAGAUAUCAGGAGGAACACCCGUGGCGAAGGCGGCUUCCUGGGGCACUCCUGACACUGAGAAGCGAAAGCUAGGGGAGCGAACGGGAUUAGAAACCCCGGUAGUCCUAGCUGUAAACGAUGGAUGCUAGGUGUUGGCAGAUCUAACCCUGUCAGUGCCAAAGCUAACGCGUUAAGCAUCCCGCCUGGGAACUACGAGCGCAAGCUUAAA
rnacentral:rRNA from 1 species